GGUUAAGCGACUAAGCGUACACGGUGGAUGCCCUGGCAGUCAGAGGCGAUGAAGGGCGUGCUAAUCUGCGAUAAGCGCCGGUAAGGUGAUAUGAACCGUUAUAACCGGCGAUACCCGAAUGGGGAAACCCAGUGUGAUUCGUCACACUAUCAUUAACUGAAUCCAUAGGUUAAUGAGGCGAACCGGGGGAACUGAAACAUCUAAGUACCCCGAGGAAAAGAAAUCAACCGAGAUUCCCCCAGUAGCGGCGAGCGAACGGGGAGGAGCCCAGAGCCUGAAUCAGCAUGUGUGUUAGUGGAAGCGUCUGGAAAGGCGCGCGAUACAGGGUGACAGCCCCGUACACAAAAGCGCAUGUGCUGUGAGCUCGAUGAGUAGGGCGGGACACGUGGUAUCCUGUCUGAAUAUGGGGGGACCAUCCUCCAAGGCUAAAUACUCCUGACUGACCGAUAGUGAACCAGUACCGUGAGGGAAAGGCGAAAAGAACCCCGGCGAGGGGAGUGAAAAAGAACCUGAAACCGUGUACGUACAAGCAGUGGGAGCACAGGUUUACCUGUGUGACUGCGUACCUUUUGUAUAAUGGGUCAGCGACUUAUAUUCUGUAGCAAGGUUAACCGUAUAGGGGAGCCGAAGGGAAACCGAGUCUUAACCGGGCGUUAAGUUGCAGGGUAUAGACCCGAAACCCGGUGAUCUAGCCAUGGGCAGGUUGAAGGUUGGGUAACACUAACUGGAGGACCGAACCGACUAAUGUUGAAAAAUUAGCGGAUGACCUGUGGCUGGGGGUGAAAGGCCAAUCAAACCGGGAGAUAGCUGGUUCUCCCCGAAAGCUAUUUAGGUAGCGCCUCGUGAAUUCAUCUCCGGGGGUAGAGCACUGUUUCGGCUAGGGGGCCAUCCCGGCUUACCAACCCGAUGCAAACUGCGAAUACCGGAGAAUGUUAUCACGGGAGACACACGGCGGGUGCUAACGUCCGUCGUGAAGAGGGAAACAACCCAGACCGCCAGCUAAGGUCCCAAAGUCAUGGUUAAGUGGGAAACGAUGUGGGAAGGCCCAGACAGCCAGGAUGUUGGCUUAGAAGCAGCCAUCAUUUAAAGAAAGCGUAAUAGCUCACUGGUCGAGUCGGCCUGCGCGGAAGAUGUAACGGGGCUAAACCAUGCACCGAAGCUGCGGCAGCGACACUGUGUGUUGUUGGGUAGGGGAGCGUUCUGUAAGCCUGUGAAGGUGUGUCGUGAGGCAUGCUGGAGGUAUCAGAAGUGCGAAUGCUGACAUAAGUAACGAUAAAGCGGGUGAAAAGCCCGCUCGCCGGAAGACCAAGGGUUCCUGUCCAACGUUAAUCGGGGCAGGGUGAGUCGACCCCUAAGGCGAGGCCGAAAGGCGUAGUCGAUGGGAAACGGGUUAAUAUUCCCGUACUUGGUGUUACUGCGAAGGGGGGACGGAGAAGGCUAUGUUGGCCGGGCGACGGUUGUCCCGGUUUAAGCGUGUAGGUGUGUGUUCCAGGUAAAUCCGGUUCACUUUAACACUGAGGCGUGACGACGAGGCACUACGGUGCUGAAGCAACAAAUGCCCUGCUUCCAGGAAAAGCCUCUAAGCAUCAGGUAACAUCAAAUCGUACCCCAAACCGACACAGGUGGUCAGGUAGAGAAUACCAAGGCGCUUGAGAGAACUCGGGUGAAGGAACUAGGCAAAAUGGUGCCGUAACUUCGGGAGAAGGCACGCUGACACGUAGGUGAAGUGAUUUACUCAUGGAGCUGAAGUCAGUCGAAGAUACCAGCUGGCUGCAACUGUUUAUUAAAAACACAGCACUGUGCAAACACGAAAGUGGACGUAUACGGUGUGACGCCUGCCCGGUGCCGGAAGGUUAAUUGAUGGGGUCAGCGCAAGCGAAGCUCCUGAUCGAAGCCCCGGUAAACGGCGGCCGUAACUAUAACGGUCCUAAGGUAGCGAAAUUCCUUGUCGGGUAAGUUCCGACCUGCACGAAUGGCGUAAUGAUGGCCAGGCUGUCUCCACCCGAGACUCAGUGAAAUUGAACUCGCUGUGAAGAUGCAGUGUACCCGCGGCAAGACGGAAAGACCCCGUGAACCUUUACUAUAGCUUGACACUGAACAUUGAGCCUUGAUGUGUAGGAUAGGUGGGAGGCUUUGAAGUGUGGACGCCAGUCUGCAUGGAGCCGACCUUGAAAUACCACCCUUUAAUGUUUGAUGUUCUAACGUGGACCCGUGAUCCGGGUUGCGGACAGUGUCUGGUGGGUAGUUUGACUGGGGCGGUCUCCUCCUAAAGAGUAACGGAGGAGCACGAAGGUUGGCUAAUCCUGGUCGGACAUCAGGAGGUUAGUGCAAUGGCAUAAGCCAGCUUGACUGCGAGCGUGACGGCGCGAGCAGGUGCGAAAGCAGGUCAUAGUGAUCCGGUGGUUCUGAAUGGAAGGGCCAUCGCUCAACGGAUAAAAGGUACUCCGGGGAUAACAGGCUGAUACCGCCCAAGAGUUCAUAUCGACGGCGGUGUUUGGCACCUCGAUGUCGGCUCAUCACAUCCUGGGGCUGAAGUAGGUCCCAAGGGUAUGGCUGUUCGCCAUUUAAAGUGGUACGCGAGCUGGGUUUAGAACGUCGUGAGACAGUUCGGUCCCUAUCUGCCGUGGGCGCUGGAGAACUGAGGGGGGCUGCUCCUAGUACGAGAGGACCGGAGUGGACGCAUCACUGGUGUUCGGGUUGUCAUGCCAAUGGCACUGCCCGGUAGCUAAAUGCGGAAGAGAUAAGUGCUGAAAGCAUCUAAGCACGAAACUUGCCCCGAGAUGAGUUCUCCCUGAGACUUAGAGUCUCCUGAAGGAACGUUGAAGACGACGACGUUGAUAGGCCGGGUGUGUAAGCGCAGCGAUGCGUUGAGCUAACCGGUACUAAUGAACCGUGAGGCUUAACCUU
rnacentral:rRNA from 1 species